rnacentral:rRNA from 1 species
AAAUUCCUUGUCGGGUAAGUUCCGGCCUGCACGAAUGGCGUAACGAUCUCCCCGCUGUCUCAAACGUGGACUCAGCGAAAUUGAACUGUGUGUCAAGAUGCACACUACCCGCGGUUAGACGGAAAGACCCCAUGAACCUUUACUAUAGCUUCGCACUGGCAUCAGGCAUGUGAUGUGCAGGAUAGGUGGUAGGCUUCGAAACCGGGACGCCAGUUCCGGUGGAGCCAUCCUUGAGAUACCACCCUUCGCUCGC